rnacentral:rRNA from 1 species
AUUGAACGCUGGCGGCAGGCCUUACACAUGCAAGUCGAGCGAGCGGCGGACGGGUGAGUAAUGUAUGGGGACUGCCCGAUAGAGGGGGAUAACUACUGGAAACGGUGGCUAAUACCGCAUACUAUCGGAUAACCCAUAUGGGAUUAGCUAGUAGGUGGGGUAAAGGCUCACCUAGGCGACGAUCUCUAGCUGGUCUGAGAGGAUGAUCAGCCACACUGGGACGGAGACACGGCCCAGACUCCGACGGAGGCAGCAGUGGGGAAUUUUGGACAAUGGGCGAAAGCCUGAUGCAGCCAUGCCGCGUGUAUGAAGAAGGCCUUAGGGUUGUAAAGUACUUUUAGCGGGGAGGCGGUACCUGCAGAAUAAGCACCGGCUAACUACGUGCCAGCAGCCGCGGUAAUAC